rnacentral:rRNA from 1 species
AGAGUUUGAUCCUGGCUCAGAUUGAACGCUGGCGGCAUGCCUUACACAUGCAAGUCGAACGGCAGCACGGGAGCAAUCCUGGUGGCGAGUGGCGAACGGGUGAGUUAAUAUAUCGGAACGUGCCCAGUCGUGGGGGAUAACGCAGCGAAAGCUGUGCUAAUACCGCAUACGACCUACGGGUGAAAGCGGGGGAUCGCAAGACCUCGCGUUAUUGGAGCGGCCGAUAUCAGAUUAGCUUGUUGGUGGGGUAAAAGCCCACCAAGGCGACGAUCUGUAGCUGGUCUGAGAGGACGACCAGCCACACUGGGACUGAGACACGGCCCAGACUCCUACGGGAGGCAGCAGUGGGGAAUUUUGGACAAUGGGCGCAAGCCUGAUCCAGCCAUGCCGCGUGUGGGAAGAAGGCCUUCGGGUUGUAAACCACUUUUGUCAGGGAAGAAACGGUUCUUACUAAUAUUAGGAACUAAUGACGGUACCUGAAGAAUAAGCACCGGCUAACUACGUGCCAGCAGCCGCGGUAAUACGUAGGGUGCAAGCGUUAAUCGGAAUUACUGGGCGUAAAGCGUGCGCAGGCGGCUUUGCAAGACAGAUGUGAAAUCCCCGGGCUCAACCUGGGAACUGCAUUUGUGACUGCAUGGCUAGAGUACGGUAGAGGGGGAUGGAAUUCCGCGUGUAGCAGUGAAAUGCGUAGAUAUGCGGAGGAACACCGAUGGCGAAGGCAAUCCCCUGGACCUGUACUGACGCUCAUGCACGAAAGCAUGGGGAGCAAACAGGAUUAGAUACCCUGGUAGUCCACACCCUAAACGAUGUCAACUGGUUGUUGGACGGCUUGCUGUUCAGUAACGAAGCUAACGCGUGAAGUUGACCGCCUGGGGAGUACGGCCGCAAGGUUGAAACUUAAAGGAAUUGACGG